UGUGCUGAGAGAUCCGCUGCUCUCAGAGCCA
rnacentral:piRNA from 1 species